rnacentral:rRNA from 1 species
UACGUAGGGGGCAAGCGUUGUCCGGAUUUAUUGGGCGUAAAGAGCGUGUAGGCGGCCAGACAGGUCAGCUGUGAAAACUCGAGGCUCAACCUCGAGACGUCGGUUGAAACCGUCUGGCUAGAGUCCGGAAGAGGAGAGUGGAAUUCCCGGUGUAGCGGUGAAAUGCGCAGAUAUCAGGAGGAACGCCGGUGGCGAAGGCGGGUCUCUGGGCCGAUACUGACGCUGAGGAGCGAAAGCGUGGGGAGCGAACAGG